rnacentral:rRNA from 1 species
GAACGACGCUGGCGGCAGGCCUCAAACAUGCAAGUCUAGGGGGUGUAGCAAUACAUCACCGGCGGACGGGUGCGUAACACGUGGGAAUAUACCUUUUGGUUCGGAACAACGCAGGGAAACUUGCGCUAAUACCGAAUGUGCCCUUACGGGGAAAGAUUUAUCGCCAAAGGAUUAGCCCGCGUAGGAUUAGCUAGUUGGUGAGGUAAUGGCUCACCAAGGCUCCGAUCCUUAGCUGUUCUGAGAGGAAGAUCAGCCACACUGGGACUGAGACACGGCCCAGACUCCUACGGGAGGCAGCAGUUGGGAAUCUUGGACAAUGGGGGAAACCCUGAUCCAGCCAUGCCGCGUGAGUGAUGAAGGCCUUCGGGUUGUAAAACUCUUUCGACGGGGACGAUAAUGACGGUACCCGUAGAAGAAGCUCCGGCUAACUUCGUG